rnacentral:lncRNA from 1 species
CUGGCUGCUUGUGGCCCGCAGAGCACCCAGGAAGGAGUUCCCCAGCUAGGCCGAGGCAGCUGAUGUGCCAGAGGGUGCCAUCUGCAGCACCAGUGGGCCUCAGGUGCCCUGCCCUGGCCUGGGGCAGGCUGAGGCAGGGAGUUGGCUGUCCUGACUGAGAAGUUGGCGAUCAGGCUGGUUGGCUGUUGAGGGUGGAGAGAAACUGAAAGGAAACGGUGGAGAUGAGUGCCCAAAUCCCAUUGCUGGGCAGUGAAGGGGCAGCUGGUGGUCAUGCUUGGUAUUGAGAUGUCCAAGAUAGUGGAGGCUGAAGUUGUCCAAGAAACUAGAAUACUGCUGAUUCACCAAGUUCUUCUCUUCGAACUCUGCUUCAGGAAUACUUCCAUGUGUCUGUAGAGAGGACUCAGAAGAGGAAAGCAAGCAAGAAGGUCUUAUGCAACAGGUCUCAGAGGAUCUAUUUGUGCAUCUGCAGAGCUGAGCCAGACAUCUCCAAGCUUUCCCAGCGGAGGGCAAUUGCUGGAUUAGGUAAGGGAACUUUCCACCAUCUCUUCUGGGAGAUCUGGUCACAUCAGGUAGGUUGGAGG